rnacentral:piRNA from 1 species
UAGCUGUGUGAUCUCAAGCAGUGAGAGC